UUCAGGAGCUAGUGCGGCGGCGCGGCCUCUGCGUGCCCUCUGACCUGCUGGCAGUGGGCGGAGGGGGAGUCGGGCGCCGCCAUAUUGGCUGUUGUCCUGUGUGGGGAGCGGCGGCAGUGGCGGCGCGAGUGGAGCGAGGGAGCGGCGCGAGUGGCAGCAUGACUCGGAGGCGGAGCAGGCCGAGCGGCGGCGCGGGCCGGCGCGAACGGGCACGGGCUGCGGGGCUGCAGAAGCCCCAGGCGCCCGAGCCCCCGCCGCCGCCAACCUUGGAAGCGGGACCGGGUGCAGGGCCCCAGGAGGCUCCGGCGGAGUCCGAUCGCGACGGCCCCAAAGAAGAGGAUGAACCCAAGCUGGUGCCUGGCCCGCAGGUCCCCUUCACCUCCAGCCAGUCUGUACAGACUUGCUGCCUGCUAUGUCACCGGGAACGCAAAGGCUGGGAAGAAGGCCCUUCACAAAACGGACUGGUGUUACAGGGUGAAAAGCUACCCCCUGACUUCAUGCCAAAGCUCGUCAAGAAUCUCCUAGGCGAGAUGCCUCUAUGGGUCUGCCAGAGUUGCCGAAAGAGCAUGGAGGAAGAUGAAAGGCAGACAGGUCGAGAACAUGCAGUGGCGGUACGUAACCACUGACAGGGGGCCUCAGGGUGGCCACAUCCCCAGGAAAGGUAGGCUGUUCCUUCCCUGUCUUUUCAAGGACUUUCCUUGGGAACCUCCCAUGCUCAGAUGCUAAAAGAAUUGUGGGCUACAUUGACACCUUGGGAGCUCAGAUUCAGAUUCGGGGGAGAGAGAAACAGUCUUCAGGCAACCCUCUGGCCUCAGCAUAGUUCAUACAGAAGGUGAAGACCUCAUAGAUUACGGUAGAUCAUGAUCCUAUUCCCUCAGGUGACCCUGAUACCUUCUAAUUCCUUGACACUUUGAAAGGUAAACCUUUAUGACACAAAAGGCAGAGGUCAGUUUGAGAGUCUGAAGU
rnacentral:lncRNA from 1 species